GACGAACGCUGGCGGCGUGCUUAACACAUGCAAGUCGAACGGAAAGGCCUCUUUCGGGGGGUACUCGAGUGGCGAACGGGUGAGUAACACGUGAGUAACCUGCCCUUGACUUUGGGAUAACUUCAGGAAACUGGGGCUAAUACCGGAUAGGAGCUCCUGCUGCAUGGUGGGGGUUGGAAAGUUUCGGCGGUUGGGGAUGGACUCGCGGCUUAUCAGCUUGUUGGUGGGGUAGUGGCUUACCAAGGCUUUGACGGGUAGCCGGCCUGAGAGGGUGACCGGCCACAGUGGGACUGAGAGACGGCCCAGACUCCUACGGGAGGCAGCAGUGGGGAAUAUUGCACAAUGGGUGGAAGCCGGAUGCAGCAACGCCGUGUGCGGGAUGACGGCCUUCGGGUUGGAAACCGCUUUCGCUCAUGACGAAGCUUUGUGUGACGGUAGUGGGUAAAGAAGCACCGGCUAACUACGUG
rnacentral:rRNA from 1 species